rnacentral:rRNA from 1 species
GAUGAACGCUGGCGGCGUGCCUAAUACAUGCAAGUCGAGCGAACGGACGAGAAGCUUGCUUCUCUGAUGUUAGCGGCGGACGGGUGAGUAACACGUGGAUAACCUACCUUUAAGACUGGGAUAACUUCGGGAAACCGUAGCUAAUACCGGAUAAUAUUUUGAACCGCAUGGUUCAAAAGUGAAAGACGGUCUUGCUGUCACUUAUAGAUGGAUCCGCGCUGCAUUAGCUAGUUGGUAAGGUAACGGCUUACCAAGGCAACGAUGCAUAGCCGACCUGAGAGGGUGAUCGGCCACACUGGAACUGAGACACGGUCCAGACUCCUACGUGAGGCAGCAGUAGGGAAUCUUCCGCAAUGGGCGAAAGCCUGACGGAGCAACGCCGCGUGAGUGAUGAAGGUCUUCGGAUCGUAAAACUCUGUUAUUAGGGAAGAACAUAUGUGUAAGUAACUGUGCACAUCUUGACGGUACCUAAUCAGAAAGCCACGGCUAACUACGUG